AAGUUAACUAUACCACAGAAUAAGAAGGUACAGCAGAAGCGUCACUCGAGUCGGUUCCCUUAUUGUUUUACGUCCACGAAAAUUUUAACUCGCUCACGCCAUCCUGGCUAGUACAACCGGAAGUUUUUAUCAGGUUUUGGUAGGUACAAAGUGCCGGUUGUACUAGCCAGGAUGGCGUGAUUGAUGACGAAUCGCUUGUCAAAACGCGGACAAAUACUUGCC